rnacentral:rRNA from 1 species
AUACGAAGGGGGCUAGCGUUGUUCGGAUUUACGGGGCGUAAAGCGCACGUAGGCGGAUUGACAAGUUAGGGGUGAAAUCCCGAGGCUCGACCUCGGAACUGCCUCUAAAACUGUCAAUCUCGAGACCGGAAGAGGUGAGUGGAACUCCUAGUGUAGAGGUGGAAUUCGUAGAUAUUAGGAAGAACACCAGUGGCGAAGGCGGCUCACUGGUCCGGUACUGACGCUGAGGUGCGAAAGCGUGGGGAGCAAACAGGAUUAGAAACCCCAGUAGUCC